UGGGGAAUUUUGGACAAUGGGCGCAAGCCUGAUCCAGCAAUGCCGCGUGUGUGAAGAAGGCCUUCGGGUUGUAAAGCACUUUUGGCAGGAAAGAAAUAGCGCGUGCUAAUACCAUGCGCGAAUGACGGUACCUGCAGAAUAAGCACCGGCUAACUACGUGCCAGCAGCCGCGGUAAGACGUAGGGUGCAAGCGUUAAUCGGAAUUACUGGGCGUAAAGCGUGCGCAGGCGGUUUUGUAAGACGGAUGUGAAAUCCCCGGGCUUAACCUGGGAACUGCAUUCGNGACUGCAAGGCUAGAGUAUGGCAGAGGGGGGUAGAAUUCCACGUGUAGCAGUGAAAUGCGUAGAGAUGUGGAGGAAUACCGAUGGCGAAGGCAGCCCCCUGGGCCAAUACUGACGCUCAUGCACGAAAGCGUGGGGAGCAAACA
rnacentral:rRNA from 1 species